GAUGAACGCUGGCGGCGUGCCUAAUACAUGCAAGUCGAGCGAACGGACGAGAAGCUUGCUUCUCUGAUGUUAGCGGCGGACGGGUGAGUAACACGUGGAUAACCUACCUAUAAGACUGGGAUAACUUCGGGAAACCGGAGCUAAUACCGGAUAAUAUUUUGAACCGCAUGGUUCAAAAGUGAAAGACGGUCUUGCUGUCACUUAUAGAUGGAUCCGCGCUGCAUUAGCUAGUUGGUAAGGUAACGGCUUACCAAGGCAACGAUGCAUAGCCGGCCUGAGAGGGUGAUCGGCCACACUGGAACUGAGACACGGUCCAGACUCCUACGGGAGGCAGCAGUAGGGAAUCUUCCGCAAUGGGCGAAAGCCUGACGGAGCAACGCCGCGUGAGUGAUGAAGGUCUUCGGAUCGUAAAACUCUGUUAUUAGGGAAGAACAUAUGUGUAAAGUACUGUGCACAUCUUGACGGUACCUAAUCAGAAAGCCACGGCUAACUACGUGCCAGCAGCCGCGGUAAUACGUAAGUGGCAAGCGUUAUCCGGAAUUAUUGGGCGUAAAGCGCGCGUAGGCGGUUUUUUAAGUCUGAUGUGAAAGCCCACGGCUCAACCGUGGAGGGUCAUUGGAAACUGGAAAACUUGAGUGCAGAAGAGGAAAGUGGAAUUCCAUGUGUAGCGGUGAAAUGCGCAGAGAUAUGGAGGAACACCAGUGGCGAAGGCGACUUUCUGGUCUGUAACUGACGCUGAUGUGCGAAAGCGUGGGGAUCAAACAGGAUUAGAUACCCUGGUAGUCCACGCCGUAAACGAUGAGUGCUAAGUGUUAGGGGGUUUCCGCCCCUUAGUGCUGCAGCUAACGCAUUAAGCACUCCGCCUGGGGAGUACGACCGCAAGGUUGAAACUCAAAGGAAUUGACGGGGACCCGCACAAGCGGUGGAGCAUGUGGUUUAAUUCGAAGCAACGCGAAGAACCUUACCAAAUCUUGACAUCCUUUGACAACUCUAGAGAUAGAGCCUUCCCCUUCGGGGGACAAAGUGACAGGUGGUGCAUGGUUGUCGUCAGCUCGUGUCGUGAGAUGUUGGGUUAAGUCCCGCAACGAGCGCAACCCUUAAGCUUAGUUGCCAUCAUUAAGUUGGGCACUCUAAGUUGACUGCCGGUGACAAACCGGAGGAAGGUGGGGAUGACGUCAAAUCAUCAUGCCCCUUAUGAUUUGGGCUACACACGUGCUACAAUGGACAAUACAAAGGGCAGCGAAACCGCGAGGUCAAGCAAAUCCCAUAAAGUUGUUCUCAGUUCGGAUUGUAGUCUGCAACUCGACUACAUGAAGCUGGAAUCGCUAGUAAUCGUAGAUCAGCAUGCUACGGUGAAUACGUUCCCGGGUCU
rnacentral:rRNA from 1 species